rnacentral:rRNA from 1 species
AGAGUUUGAUCCUGGCUCAGGAUGAACGCUGGCGGCGUGCCUAAUACAUGCAAGUCGAGCGAAUGGAUUAAGAGCUUGCUCUUAUGAAGUUAGCGGCGGACGGGUGAGUAACACGUGGGUAACCUGCCCAUAAGACUGGGAUAACUCCGGGAAACCGGGGCUAAUACCGGAUAACAUUUUGCACCGCAUGGUGCGAAAUUCAAAGGCGGCUUCGGCUGUCACUUAUGGAUGGACCCGCGUCGCAUUAGCUAGUUGGUGAGGUAACGGCUCACCAAGGCAACGAUGCGUAGCCGACCUGAGAGGGUGAUCGGCCACACUGGGACUGAGACACGGCCCAGACUCCUACGGGAGGCAGCAGUAGGGAAUCUUCCGCAAUGGACGAAAGUCUGACGGAGCAACGCCGCGUGAGUGAUGAAGGCUUUCGGGUCGUAAAACUCUGUUGUUAGGGAAGAACAAGUGCUAGUUGAAUAAGCUGGCACCUUGACGGUACCUAACCAGAAAGCCACGGCUAACUACAUGCCAGCAGCCGCGGUAAU